rnacentral:rRNA from 1 species
AACAAACGCUGGCGGCAGGCCUAACACAUGCAAGUCGAACGGUUCCUUCGGGGACAGUGGCAGACGGGUGAGUAACGCGUGGGAAUCUACCUUGUGGUACGGAACAACCAAGGGAAACUUUGGCUAAUACCGUAUGGGCCCUUCGGGGGAAAGAUUUAUCGCCAUAAGAUGAGCCCGCGUAGGAUUAGCUAGUUGGUGAGGUAAAGGCUCACCAAGGCGACGAUCCUUAGCUGGUCUGAGAGGAUGACCAGCCACACUGGGACUGAGACACGGCCCAGACUCCUACGGGAGGCAGCAGUGGGGAAUAUUGGACAAUGGGCGCAAGCCUGAUCCAGCCAUGCCGCGUGUGUGAUGACGGCCUUAGGGUUGUAAAGCACUUUCGCCGAUGAGGAUAAUGACUGUAGUCGGAGAAGAAGCCCCGGCUAACUUCGUGCCAGCCGCCGCCGUAA